CCUAUCCUUUUCUCCUAUGCUUCAUUCAAUUUCCACCUUUCCCUAUUUCUCUCGCGCUCUCUCCUCUCCCUCUCAUCUGGUUCGAGCACAGACCUAUCUAUCCUCUUCAUCUCCUCUGGUUCAAGCACUCUUCACCAACAAUAGGAUGGCAAAAAAGGUGGGAACUUCAGCAAGAGCUCCACAUGGUACAUGCAAUGA